AUUGAACGCUGGCGGCAGGCCUAACACAUGCAAGUCGAGCGGAUGAAGGGAGCUUGCUCCAGGAUUCAGCGGCGGACGGGUGAGUAAUGCCUAGGAAUCUGCCUGGUAGUGGGGGAUAACGUCCGGAAACGGGCGCUAAUACCGCAUACGUCCUGAGGGAGAAAGUGGGGGAUCUUCGGACCUCACGCUAUCAGAUGAGCCUAGGUCGGAUUAGCUAGUUGGUGGGGUAAAGGCCUACCAAGGCGACGAUCCGUAACUGGUCUGAGAGGAUGAUCAGUCACACUGGAACUGAGGCACGGUCCAGACUCCUACGGGAGGCAGCAGUGGGGAAUAUUGGACAAUGGGCGAAAGCCUGAUCCAGCCAUGCCGCGUGUGUGAAGAAGGUCUUCGGAUUGUAAAGCACUUUAAGUUGGGAGGAAGGGCAGUAAGUUAAUACCUUGCUGUUUUGACGUUACCAACAGAAUAAGCACCGGCUAACUUCGUG
rnacentral:rRNA from 1 species